GAAAGAUUUCAAAACAUUUUUGACAAAUGAUCAAACAAAAGUCACUGAGGAAGAAAAUAAGGGUUCAGGUACAGGUGCAGCCGGUGCCUCAGACACAACAAUAAAACCCAAUCCUGAAAACACUGGGCCCACAUUAGAAUGGGAUAACUAUGAUUUAAGGGAAGAUGCUUUGGAUGAUAGUGUUAGUAGUAGCUCAGUACAUGCUUCUCCAUUGGCAAGUAGCCCUGUGAGAAAAAAUCUUUUCCGUUUUGGUGAGUCAACAACAGGAUUUAACUUCAGUUUUAAAUCUGCUUUGAGUCCAUCUAAGUCUCCUGGCAAGUUGAAUCAGAGUGGGACUUCAGUUGGCACUGAUGAAGAAUCUGAUGUUACUCAAGAAGAAGAGAGAGAUGGACAGUACUUUGAACCUGUUGUUCCUUUACCUGAUCUAGUUGAAGUAUCCAGUGGAUGUUGCAGACUCGUUUAAGAAAAUUUUUGAUGAAGCAAAAACAGCCCAGGAAAAAGAUUCUUUGAUAACACCUCAUGUUUCUCGGUCAAGCACUCCCAGAGAGUCACCAUGUGGCAAAAUUGCUGUAGCUGUAUUAGAAGAAACCACAAGAGAGAGGACAGAUGUUACUCAGGGUGAUGAUGUAGCAGAUGCAGCUUCAGAAGUUGAAGUGUCUAGCACAUCUGAAACAACAACAAAAGCGGUGGUUUCUCCUCCAAAGUUUGUAUUUGGUUCAGAGUCUGUUAAAAGCAUUUUUAGUAGUGAAAAAUCAAAACCAUUUGCAUUCGGCAACACUUCAGCCACUGGGUCUUUGUUUGGAUUUAGUUUUAAUGCACCUUUGAAAAGUAACAAUAGUGAAACUAGUUCAGUAGCCCAGAGUGGAUCUGAAAGCAAAGUGGAACCUAACAAAUGUGAACUGUCAAAGAACUCUGAUAUCGAACAGUCUUCAGAUAGCAAAGUCAAAAAUCUCUCUGCUUCCUUUCCAACGGAAGAAUCUUCAAUCAACUACACAUUUAAAACACCAGAAAAGGGUAGGUACUUUGUUGUUAAAGUUAAGCACAAUUUUUCUUUCUUUUAAUGUUUAGCUUGAUGCAGACUCUUUGUAGGAUACUAAUGUUGGGAUAUAAAUGAUGCUUUGUGAACACCCCCAAAAUAUUUGAGCAAUUUUUUUUCUCCCUUAAUAAGUUCACGGUGAAGUUUCAAAGAGCAAGAGAACUUAGUUUAAGACAUUUCAGUAACUAGAAGAUACUUUUAUCAUGCUAGGGCAGAGCAAAAGAACUCGGUACGGUAUACGGACUCAUGCUUGAAUCAUGCGCAUUAACGUGAGUCUUUUUUUAAAGUGUUCAUUUUCAUUUGUUCAGUUUCUUUUGUCACUCAGAAAACAUGAUAUUGAGGCUGGGCACGGUGGCUCACUCCUAGAAUGCCAGCACUUUGGGAGGUUGAGGUGGGCAGAUCACUUGAGCUCAAGAGUUCGAGACCAGCCUGGCCAACAUGGUGAAACCCUGUUUCUACUGAAAAUACAAAAAUGAGCCGGGCGUGGUGGUGUGUGCCUAUGAUUAGCAGCUACUUAGGAGGCUGAGGCAGGAGGAUCACUUGAGCACAGGAGAUGGAGGUAGCAGUGAGCUGAAAUCAUGCCACUGCACUCCAGCCUGACUGUGAGUGACUGAGUGAGACUUUGUCUCCAAAAAAACAAAAAAAAAAAAAACAUGAUAUUGAGAUGUUCUCAUUUUAUGUGUUGUAUGUCAGUCUUGCUCAUGUAUUAAAUGAGCAAAGAAUGAAACUACAGGGAUAAAUGAAUAUGUAAGACAGUCAGAUUGGUGGUAUAAAUUGAGGGAUUCUGGCUUUUUAUGUUUUAAAAGCAUAUUCAUUUUGUUUCCUAAAAUGUUAAAAAACGAAAUAUUGUUUAUUUUCUAGGAUUUAAUUUUAGCCUUUUUAAAUCUAAUCCCAUGGCCUUUUGGACUAGCACCCCUUCCUCACAGCCUGAGAGCAAAGGUAUAGAACUAGCAUUCUCAGUAUGAGAUAACAGCAGUUUUUAGCAGCUGGUAGCCCUUAGCAAAGUAUUAAUAACUGUGGCUGUAUGAAAUGAAGUACUUACCACUACU
ensembl:lincRNA